AGGGGCUUUAAGGGGCGGGCCGGCGGACGGCUAGGGUCCUUCAGAGGAUUAGCGCAGGGUGGGCGCGCGCCUCAGGCCGCCAUUUCUUGGCGUCUCCAGAGGAGUCGCCCCCUGUUCAGUCGCUCUCGGGACCUCUACCCCCGCGUCGCCGGCUCUCCGCGUCGCCUUAGCCACCGCGCCUCCGUCCCCAGCCCAGUGACAAAAAUGCUGAGCUUCUUUCGUAGAACACUUGGGCGUCGGUCAAUGCGUAAACAUGCUGAGAAGGAACGACUCCGAGAAGCUCAGCGAGCUGCCACACACAUUCCUGCCGCUGGAGACUCUAAGUCCAUCAUCACAUGUCGGGUGUCUCUUCUGGAUGGUACUGAUGUUAGUGUGGACUUGCCGAAAAAAGCCAAAGGACAAGAGCUCUUUGAUCAGAUAAUGUACCAUUUGGACCUUAUUGAAAGUGACUAUUUUGGACUGAGAUUUAUGGAUUCUGCACAAGUAGCACACUGGCUAGAUGGUACCAAGAGCAUCAAAAAGCAAGUAAAAAUUGGUUCACCCUAUUGUCUGCAUCUUCGAGUUAAAUUUUAUUCCUCAGAACCAAAUAAUCUUCGUGAAGAGCUAACACGGUAUUUAUUUGUUCUUCAGUUAAAACAGGAUAUUCUCAGUGGAAAAUUAGAGUGUCCCUUUGAUACAGCAGUUCAGUUGGCAGCUUAUAAUCUGCAAGCUGAACUUGGUGACUAUGAUCUUGCUGAGCAUAGUCCUGAACUUGUAUCUGAGUUCAGGUUUGUGCCGAUUCAGACUGAAGAGAUGGAGCUGGCUAUUUUUGAGAAAUGGAAGGAAUACAGAGGUCAGACACCAGCACAAGCUGAAACCAAUUACCUGAAUAAAGCCAAAUGGUUAGAAAUGUAUGGGGUUGAUAUGCAUGUGGUCAAGGCUAGAGAUGGGAAUGACUAUAGCUUGGGACUGACUCCAACAGGAGUCCUUGUUUUCGAAGGAGAGACCAAAAUUGGCUUAUUUUUUUGGCCCAAGAUAACCAGAUUGGAUUUUAAGAAGAAUAAAUUAACCCUGGUGGUUGUAGAAGAUGAUGAUCAGGGCAAAGAGCAGGAACAUACAUUUGUCUUUCGAUUGGAUCAUCCAAAAGCAUGCAAACAUUUAUGGAAAUGUGCUGUGGAACAUCAUGCAUUCUUUCGUCUCCGAGGCCCGGUCCAAAAGAAUUCUCAUCGAUCGGGAUUUAUUCGACUAGGAUCACGAUUUAGAUAUAGUGGAAAAACUGAAUAUCAGACCACAAAAACCAAUAAACCAAGAAGAUCAACAUCCUUUGAAAGAAGACCCAGCAAACGAUACUCUAGACGAACUCUACAAAUGAAAGCAAGUACAGCAAAACCUGAAGAACUCAGUGUUCACAAUAAUGUUUCAACUCAGAGUAACGGCUCCCAACAGGCUUGGGGUGUGAGAUCUACUCUGCCUGGGAUUCCUUCUGUUCCCUCUGGUCCUGUGCUGGCAGAGAUAGAGAAUCUUCCAAGGAAUCCUGGAUUAGACCAGCAUGACAGGAAAUGCUUGCCUCUGAAUAUUGAUUUGCUAGAUAGUCCAGACUUAUUGGAAACAACCAUUGAUGAUGUAAUUGGGGCACCUGACACUCUGGAAAUACCGCAAGCACCAGAUGAAGUUAACAUAGUCACCAGGCAAACUGGAUUGGAAGGAACUAAAGAGGAAUGUGGGACAUUAAAAGAUGCCUCACAGAAGCUCAAACACCUUGAGAUGGAAAGCAGUCCAUUGCCGUCUUCACGUCCCAACAUGGAUGUCAACAUCAACAGCCAGGAGGAGGUGGUGAAGUUGACUGAAAAAUGUCUUAAUAAUGCCAUUGAGAGCCCAGGAUUGAAUGCCAGGAGAGUUCCUCCUAACUUGAAGAGUAACAUUUUGAAGGCCCAGGUAGAAGCAGUGCAUAAGGUUACAAGAGAAGAUAGCUUAUUAAGUCAUAAAAAUGCCAAUGUUCAGGAUGCUGCCACAAACAGUGCUGUAUUAAAUGAGAAUAAUGUGCCCUUCCCUGAAGAUUCUCUUGCUCUGAUGCAUACCACACCUGCAGCAAAUGGUUCUGUUCUUAAGGAUGCCACAGAUGAAUUGGAUGCCUUGCUUUUAUCUCUAACUGAGAAUCUAAUGGACCACACAGUCACACCUCAGGUAUCUUCAACAUCCAUGAUCACACCACGGUGGAUUGUACCAGUGUGGUGUCUGUCUCCCUCAGCAGAGUGGCGUCCUUUCCAAUGGACUGGUAGGAAGUGGACCAUCCUUGGCAGGGAAGGAGGGACAUGGUAACAGAGAAGUAAUCUCGCUGAUUUCUCCCCCAGCACCAUUCUUGGUGGAUGCUGUGACCAGCUCUGUUCCAACGUUGGCGGAAGAAACCGUCUUGAAGCAGAAGUGUUUACUGACAACUGAGCUCUGAGGGAUUGGCUCCUUCUCACCUAUAACUGGAAUAUCCAGCACUCUGCAGCUGUCCGUCCUGGAAUCCAUUUCCACUGGAAUGUUCAGAUUCAGGAGCUUGUCCUUACUUGUGAGUAAAAUGCUCACCCAGAUUUGACUUCAACUCAAUGAAAAACAUUUUCCGUCCAACUGGAAAUUUUUAAUUACACUACAUAUUUGCCCAAAUGAAGGUAUCUGGUCUUUUACUUUCUAUAAUCGUAUUAAAGUUGUAUAUUCCUGAAACAAGGGAAUUCUUUUCCCUGUUGUUUCCUUCAAACUCUUGGCUCCAUCUAGUGGUUAUAACUGUUCAUAACCCCUCCAUAACCAAGCUGUCUGAUAGUCAAUUAUGGCCUUUUGAAUGUUAUUUCUCUCUCUAGUAUCAGGGUGUGUCCUUGAUCUGAGCACCUGUUAGAGGAAGUUGCCCUUAUCCAUGCAGUACCUGGAAAUCAGGAAUUUAGGAAAUUAAUGAGGACAUCAUGUAGGUAGUUUGAGGCCUAAUUGUUUAUAAUUAUUACAGUAUAAAGAGAAGUUUAGAAUACAGAAGGUUUUCAAGUGUCUCCCAUACUUUUGACUUCUUACUGGACUGGCUAUCUUAAUACUUCUAAGUUUAUGUCAAGGUAAGCUAAACCUUGAGAAGAAUACAGAGAAAUCAAUUGUGCAUAUUUUGUGUCCUGUUUUUUUCAGCCCUGCUUCCCCACAGGAAGCCCUCACAUGCACCACACACAUACUCUCUAACUUUUCAGCCUGGACAGAGACAGCAGUCACUUCUCCACACUGGCACCGAUUUGGAUAUAGGCUCCAUCUCCUUUUAAUAUGAGCUGAAUAAAUUUAGAACUUGUAAGCUAAAGAAAACAAAACAAAAACAAAAAUACCAGGACAGAAAUAAGGAAUCGGGGGUUGGAGGGGAUUUGUUUCUUGAACACCUGUGUCUGAAACUGUACUUAGCAUACUGUAAGAACUCGUAUCUCACCUUACAUUAGGAAUUUUGUGUUAAUUUUAAUAAGUCUCUAGAAGUUCCUCAUCACUUCUGGUAUAAAAAAAAAUUCUGGAUGUUAAAGUAGCACAUGUGCAUAUAGAAAAUGAAGAAGAGUGUAAAAAUAACCUCUUGCAAUCCUGACUUCCAGAAAAACACUCUUAUUUGAGCUUUAAAAAUUCAGAAUGCAGGAGGUAAACUGCAGUUGCUGCUGGAAAUGAGGAUGAGGUAGAAACCAUGUUGGUAUCAUUGUUGUUAAUCCCUGUGAUCAAGGAUUGAUGUCAAACUAUACCUCCUGGAAUUUGAUGUUUAGUUUUCUGCCCUGUAUUAUGUAUAUAACUGAGUGUGAAUUUAUGUUGCUCAGCACAAGAGAACAUCCAGUUUUGUGAUCUUUAAAACUCCAUGGUUUGGACUAUCCUGGGUUCCCUGUAGCAGAGUCAUGGGCUAGGCAAACACACACUAGUGUCUGAUUGGAAAGCUCAGGAAUUUUAAUCUUGUGCUGUUUCCCAGGGAGCUGUAGAGUUUGGAAACCACUUUUGCACAGAACAACUUUGCUGAAGGAAAGAAAGUUGGCACUUCUUGCUGGCUGCUUCCCCUUAGCCAUUAUGCUGAGCUUGUGAAUUUCAUUGGUGGAGCUCUUGCCAAUUCUUAAUUGUAAAACAAAUUUUCUUGCAGCUGUAAGUGACACCUAGAACCAAGGGCUUGACCAGGGGCCUGACCCGAAGCACCCUGGACUGGACAUCAAAUUUCCAGUGUGUGACAAUGCUAGAUGUACUGAAAGGUCAAAAGUUGUGCAUCUAACCACAGAGCAGCUAAGGUAUUACUAGAUUGGAAGGCCUAAACUUCCCAUCCAGUUUAGGAGGUAGCACCAUCCUUAUUUUAAACUUUUUGCAGUUUAGGAAUACGUUGCUGAAAAUAUUCUAUAACCUCUGUGUCUUCGGUAUAUAUUCUUGCCAGUUAGCGUAUCGAAAAGGACUUUCUUAAAAUUUACUUAAAUCUCAGGCUUAAAGGAGGAAAUUUUGUCUUUUGUCCUGACACAAAGUGGUAAACAUGGAAAUUAAUACUUUAAUGAUGAAUUAGCCCUGGCAGUUUAGAUACCUGUCAAGUAUAACUUCCCUGUCAUGACUACUGCUGGUGCCUUCCCCAGAGUUGCUGUAACACUGAUCUUGUUCUUGCUCAUCUGAGAGUGGAGGGGAGAGAAUGGCAGGGCUCAGGAUAUCUGUGAAUGUGUCCGAGAGGGAAGGGAAGUCUGUCUCUGUGAUGAGAGAGAAGCCGAUAUAUGUGAGUCAGUAAAGAAUGUGAGCAGAGUGAGAUUUGAGAUAAUACUGGAUAAGAAGGCAGGUCGGUUACAUUGAAGUGGGAGGAGGGACAGCUCUGAUGGCAUGACCCGCUGUUGACCUUCAAGGCAUAGUCCUCCCCUACAAAGAUUAAAACCCACCUGCACAUCCGAGAAUCAUCUGAUUAACUAAAGCUCUGAUCCUCAGAUGAGAUGAAAUAGCCGUACUGGCUGUUCAAAAUGACAGCUAGUUGGGCAGGAAGUUUCUCUCUAGAAUGAGGUUCCCAUGCACCUUAGUAAAUGUAGCUAAAAAGAAGUAUUGGCAGCAUUUAAUUAAGUCAGAAGUAAUGAGAACAUGUUUGAAAAGAGAGCAAGAACAAUAGUUUAUUUGAGGGCUCCAGCUAGAAAGCUGUUAGCAUUCUUCCGUUUGAAGGUAGUUUGGAGGUGAUUUAUAGCUGAGAUAACCGACCCAGAUUGGCAACAAAUAACAGGAGGCUUUUAGCCACAGGCUCAGCUACUCUGUGGUUACUUUCUUCCCAUUUUCCAGUACCGGAUUUGACUGUGGUGACUCAUUAGGAUCAGCGAUGAUGGAACUUGUGACUGGGAGCAGAUUUGAGGCUGGUGCUGAGAGAGUGGCAGGGCUUCUUUUGUUGUCUUGCCAGGCCUCGUGCGUCUGUGGGGCUUGCAAGGACUGGGUUGUUGCUGCUGCCCCUGUCUCAUGGCUUGCUGUGCGCUCCGCCCCAGGAACGCUUAGUACAACCAUGCAGUAGGCGUCUGCUGCAGGCCUUGGGGACGGGGGGCAGAAAGGAGAGGAACCUCACAUCACGCCCUCUGACAGCCCGGGUACGGGAAGGGAGAGUUGGCAUGGUGGUUUAAAUACGCGUGCUAGGUUUCAGCUUUCUGCCCUCGACUCUUCUUCUGAACUUGUAAAAUGAUAAACGAGAUCCUAUUCCUUACUAUUGGUGGUAGUAUCACCUUCGUAUACACUGGAAUGGCUCAUUGUUCUUUCACACCUGCCCUUCAAGAAGCACUGCUGAACAAAGGAAUGACUAGGUUCCUUUGGUCUGGAUAAAUUUAGACAUACCCUUGACAGCUUUCCUAAAAUGUUUGUAUUGUUUUAGGAAAAAUUCUUUUUAAAAAUACUUCUUACAGCCUACUGACUGUCUUCACCUUUGUCUGCUUUCGCACAAUCACAGAUGCUCUGUGGACAGUUAAGGAUGAAAGCCCUGGGUUGUUCCUUGCAUCUUGACUGCUUGUUCUUACACUAAAACCCCCAUCUUCUCUUGCCUAAUGAGCCCCAGAAUGAAAGCUCAGGUGUCACUUCAGAGACUUUGUUAGAGCAGAAUUAUUUGGCAGUCACUUACAUAAAGAAAAAUCUUCCAUCUUUUUCGAUAAGUAAGGGUCUUGAGAAGCAAAGUUCUUGUCUUCUCAUUGAGAGCAGGGAUGAGCGAAGUCUUCUGUGAAGAGCAGAGAGCGUUGAUACUUCAGCACUCAGGUGGGUGCCCAAGCACCAGCGCGGCACACACAAGAGCACGGCCGGCGGGCUCUGCUGCCCCCAGGCCGCACUUACAGGAGCAGGGGCCCACUCCAGUCCCACGCUGCUGCCGUGCCUGCCUGGCGCCCGGGGGUCAGGCCGGUGUUCACACAGGUUCUGCAGCAGCAGCUGCACGUGGAGGCACCCUCAUGUGCACACGGGCAGGGUGCAGUCAUGGGUCUCCCAGCUCUGAGAGUCUUUGUGAGGCCUCACCAGCUUCUAACCAGUCUUGCCUUCAGCCUUUCAGUUACUUAGAAGCCUGGAAUCUUCUGCAGACUGAAGAACGUACAUUUCUAUAUUAUUUGUCCUUUUUUCCGCUCAAAAAGGUAAACACUGUGUUUUUUUCAAUGAUCAGAGGAAAGUUGGAAGCUUUUCCUAUCUCUCAGCCUUCAGGAUGAGGAAGUGUGUUUGGGGCAUAGAAGUUGGUCCUGAGCCGAACGCCGUUGCGCUAGCUGUAGUGAUUUCCAGUUCUCAGAUAGGGCACGUGAGGCUCUUCAUCACAUUGCCUGAGACAACAAUUCAGUCACUUCCGAGGAUUUCUCUUUAUCAGGGAGGUGUUUCAGCACAGACCCCUGGCUCUUUAUUUUCAUAAGUAAAUUUUCUUUUCUGGGUAUGAUAGACAGUUAAAAGGACCUCACUAACUAUUUUGUGUUUACUUUUUAUAUGUGUAAAGCUUUGCAGUAGCUUUUAAAGUGUAAUUUAUUUUUAUAUCGAGUGCACUAUUCUUCACUGUGUUCCGCAGUUUUAUAUGACUUGUAUUAGAAGCACUGCACUGCACUGAGUUGUUUGUACACUGACCUGAGAACCGUAGAUGUGACCACAAAUAAAGCUUUUGUGAAACAUUUCUGUUCUUA